AACGCGAAGAACCUUACCUGGGCUUGACAUGCUAGGAUUAUCUCCAUGAAAGUGGAGUAGGCCCUUCGGGGUACAACUAGUACAGGUGCUGCAUGGCUGUCGUCAGCUCGUGUCGUGAGAUGUCGGGUUAAGUCCCUUAACGAGCGAAACCUUUGCCCUUAGUUACCAUCGAGUAAAGUCGGGGACUCUAAGGGGACUGCCGGUGUCAAACCGGAGGAAGGUGGAGAUGACGUCAAGUCCUCAUGGCCUUUAUGCCCAGGGCCACACACGUGCUACAAUGGGAUGCACAGAGCGAACCUAAAACGCAAGUUCAUGGAAAUCGCAGAAAUCAUCCCCCAGUUCAGAUUGGAGGCUGCAACUCGCCUCCAUGAAGUUGGAAUCGCUAGUAAUCGCGGAUCAGCUACGCCGCGGUGAAUGUGUUCACGGGCCUUGUACACACCGAGACGUA
rnacentral:rRNA from 1 species